UACGGGGGGGGCAAGCGUUGUUCGGAAUUACUGGGCGUAAAGGGCUCGUAGGCGGCCAACUAAGUCAUACGUGAAAUCCCUCAGCUUAACUGGGGAACUGCGCCUGAUACUGGUUGGCUUGAGUUUGGGAGAGGGACGCGGAAUUCCAGGUGUAGCGGUGAAAUGCGUAGAUAUCUGGAGGAACACCGGUGGCGAAGGCGGCGUCCUGGACCGACAUUGACGCUGAGGCGCGAAAGCCAGGGGAGCAAACGGG
rnacentral:rRNA from 1 species